GACGAAGGAUGCAACCGUUAUCCGGAUUCAUUGGGUUUAAAGGGCGCGUAGGUGGCCUGAUAAGUCAGUGGUGAAAUCUUUGGGCUUAACCCAAAAAUUGCCAUUGAUACUGUCGGUCUUGAGUAUAGUUGCCGUUGGCGGAAUAUGACAUGUAGUGGUGAAAUACAUAGAGAUGUCAUAGAACACCGAUUGCGAAGGCAGCUGACGAAACUAUAACUGACACUGAGGCUCGAAAGUGUGGGGAUCAAACAGG
rnacentral:rRNA from 1 species